rnacentral:rRNA from 1 species
CAAUGCGCGAAAGCGUGAUGGGGUUAUCCCGAGUGCCGUCCGAUGAGGAUGGCUUUUUAUCGAUGUAAGGAUUCGAUAGAAUAAAGGGGGGGCAAGACUGGUGUCAGCCGCCGCGGUAAUACCAGCCCCCUGAGUGGUAAGGACGAUUAUUUGGCCUAAAGCGUUCGUAGCCGGCUUAUCAAGUCUUUUGUUAAAUCCAACGAUUCAAUCGUUGGGCCGCAAAAGAUACUGUUAUGCUAGAGGACGGGAGAGGUCGACGGUAGUCCAGGGGUAGGGGUGAAAUCCUAUAAUCCUUGGAGGACCACCAGUGGCGAAGGCGUCUUACCAGAACGGGUCCGACGGUGAGGGACGAAAGCUGGGGGCACGAACCGGAUUAGAUACCCGGGUAGUCCCAGCCGUAAACGAUGUUCGCUAGGUGUCAGGGGCGGUGCGACCGCUUCUGGUGCCGUAGGGAAGCCGUGAAGCGAACCACCUGGAAGUACGCCGCAAGGC